rnacentral:ncRNA from 2 species
GAGUUUUACUAGGGGAUCCCUUGAUAAGGGCUGAGAAUAAAGUAGCUACUUUUAAACCCUCAUAACCUGACCAGAUUAGUAUCUGCGUAGGGAAGUAGCGACUGUUUGUG